UGGUAGUUGUUUAAAUCAACUUAAACAAUUUUAACAUCUUAUUUUCAAGUGGAACAAAGCAGACUUGAAAACAACAGAAAAAAAUUAUUUUCAAAGCAGUUAAUAUGAGAGAUUGCUCAGUGACCACUGGCCAAUAACAUGGGCCCUGGGACAUCAUGGAGAAGGCCUCCGUGGCAGAGGACAAACCUACUAAAACCUGUGCAUCUAAAGAAACUAAACAAGAGAGAGGAACC